CUGCCCUACGGGACGCAGCAGUGGGGAAUCUUCCGCAAUGGGCGAAAGCCUGACGGAGCAAUGCCGCGUGAGUGAGGAAGGCCUUCGGGUUGUAAAACUCUGUCCUUAUCGAAGAGAGGUGGGUAUGUGAAUAAUGUACUCAUAGGACGGUAGAUAAGGAGGAAGCCCCGGCUAACUACGUGCCAGCAGCCGCGGUAAUACGUAGGGGGCGAGCGUUGUCCGGAAUCACUUGGCGUAAAGGGCGCGUAGCCGGUUUACUAAGUCAGUUGUGCAAACUGAGGGCUCAACCCUCAGCCUGCCACUGA
rnacentral:rRNA from 1 species